UAGGUGUGGUUGAGAGGAAUCCCUGAAUGUCCCUGUUUGUGUUAGAUGGUGGAUGGAUUAGUUGCAUGUGAUGGACCCAUUCCAACAUUCUCACCUCCCAAGACUUGGGCUUUUCCUCUACAAGGUAUCAAGAAGGAACUUUAAUCCUUUUGUGGAUAACUGAUUAGUGUCAGAAACAAAGAAGAAAUUCCAAAUAGAAAAGAAGAAACUAUGGCAGCUACCUUCUCAAUCUGGGAGAUUUCAUUGUUAGAAAUCAAUCUUCACUAUUAUUUCCUAUCUGUUCAGUUUAAACUGUUCAACAGACAUAGAGAACCUUCUUUUCCUGCAGGAACCACUAUCACCCUCACUUUGUGGAACUGGUCCACCGGGCUGAGAAAACUGUGUUGUGGUUACAAAUUUGAAAAAUGAAGUGGUGAAACUAA